rnacentral:rRNA from 1 species
UACGAAGGGUGCUAGCGUUGCUCGGAAUCACUGGGCGUAAAGCGCACGUAGGCGGCUUUCUAAGUCAGGGGUGAAAUCCUGGAGCUCAACUCCAGAACUGCCUUUGAUACUGGAGAGCUUGAGUCCGGAAGAGGUGAGUGGAACUCCGAGUGUAGAGGUGAAAUUCGUAGAUAUUCGGAAGAACACCAGUGGCGAAGGCGGCUCACUGGUCCGGUACUGACGCUGAUGUGCGAAAGCGUGGGGAGCAAACAGG